ACCUUCACAGACUUGACUGCGAGUCUCUCCACGAUCAUUUGAGCAUUUUUGAGUGCAGUUUCGCAAAGCUUGAGCCCAGCGCGCAUCGUUACUUCACUUCCUGGCAGAAGCGUGGUCCCUAAAAACAAAAGCGGUCGGCUGCCAACCUUUGUCUCCGGCCGGGUGAAUGGCUUCCCCGGGGGCUCUCAGACCCGCGAGACAGCUCGGCUCUGAGCCUUUCGGACGCUUUUCUGACAGUGGACAUCACGCUGGAUUAAAAACUCCUCGGCGGGCGAGCAGGCGCCUCAGCCCGCGGAGAUGCUAGCCGCCGGCUAACAGCAGCUCCUGACUGAUACCAAGCAACGUUCAGGUAGGCCAACGAAGAGAUCAGCCUACUGCCAGAAUCCUCAGCCUGCUUCUGCCGAAAUGCAGCCUUCAUUGCAAGAAGCACUCUGAAUGUUUCCAUAUCCACAAUGAGGGGGUGCUCCAACUAAAAACUGCAUCAACGCUACCAAACAGCACGCUUACAAUAAGCCAAACAGCACCUGGUCAGAGAGGCCAAACCUGAACUGUAUGGUCACAACCAUAAACACCAGGUUUGGAGAGCGGUCAACAAGGCCUGCGAUGAAAAGUGUGGAGGUGGACCUCUGAUGCUUUGGGGAUGUGUGAGAUACAGAGACACGGGGAAUUUAGCCGAAAACUGAUGGCAGCAUGAAUGAAGCAUAUCAUCAGAAAACACUGGACAAAGAUCUGAAGCAGAAGGCCAAUUCAACCCGUCAGUGAAGGUUCUCGAGCAUCCAUCUCACAGUCUUCUGACCUCAGCGAUCAAUGAGCCACUUUGGGGAGAUCUCAAACAUGCAGUUCAGAGAGAGAACCCAAGAAUUUCCAGGAAGACUCGACAUUUUCCCCACUCUGUAGGACAGCUCAUGAAGGCAGCAGCCUUCCUCCUCCUGUGGGAACCCUGAGAGAUCCUAAUGAAGUUCAGCUGUGGAUGUAAAACAAAGAAUAAUUGUUAAAGUGAGAUUAAAUCACGCUGGACGAUUCAGCUCUGACACAGUUUCACAGCAAACCGACCUUCUCACGGCUUAUCUGUGAUUAGCAGAUCAGUGUUUGUGUAGCGUUUCCCUCCUGCUGGAGCUGUCGGCCUCUGUAAUCCUGACAGAUUAUUUCAUUACAGAAAAGUCAUUGUUCUUCCCACAAAGCCACAAGAGAGCCCCUGGCAGCCAUCGCAGACUUUUUCAAGGUUUUCUAUCAGAAAAACAACAGUGGAGGUGGUUUUAUGUGAUGCUGCGCAGCAGUUUGGACUCAAAGACAAACACUUCAUUCGAUUUGAACAGUUGAAAAGCUAGAAAGCACAAAAAGCUGUCAGUGCUGAGACGAUUUAUCAGUGUUACGCUAUGAAAGAGCAGAUAAGAAAGGAGGAGUGGGCGCUCAUGUCUAUGACACACAAGAGAAAGUUUAUGAUACUCGUGCUUUGGCAGGAUCGUGAGUUCAUAUCAAGUCCUCAGUGAAAGAAGAAAUAAACAAAAUGAGAAGAAAGAAACAUGUUAUACAAAAAUUUAAAUAAUCAUGAGAAACAGGAAGAGUUCUGAAAUCAUGAGUUGUAAAUAAAAUCUCUGAACAAGUCAAAUAUGAUUUAGUUAUAACUGUGUUUUAACAUAGUAAAAAGUCUCAUUAUUCUGAUGAACUCAUGCAUGAGCUUUAGCUUUACUGUGAUAUUGUAGUUACAAGGCAAAAAUAACUAGAAAUGAUUAAUUCAUAAAUUUGUGAAACACACGAGAAACUUUCUUAAAAUGUUGAAACGACUCCUCAUUAUGAAUAUUUGUAAUCAUGUGAAAUUAAAAGGAUUAAAUGUUUCUCAGUA